GAGAACCACAUGGGCUGGUUCUGCGUGGAGGAUGACGGGAAUCAGAUUAAGAAGGAGAGACACCCCCUCCUCGUGGGACACAUGACAGUGACGGUGGCCAAGCAGCAGGAGUUCAAGAUCGAAUGUGCCGCCUACAAUCCUGAGCCCUGUGUGAAUAAUGAGGUUCAGCCGGAUUCGUCGUCCACGGCGCACGGUUUUCUGUGGGUAAGACGCGCUGCGUGUCUUUAAUGCGGGUCCCUGAAGAAUCAGGGUCCAUGGGCCGCGUGACGAGAAGCCAUAGGUUUGAAAGGUUCAGACUUGGAACGCCUGCUCGCUGCCCGCGUGUCCUGGGCUGUGUUUAUAAACACGGAAGUCAUGGACCAGGAGAGGGGACUGAACACUUUCGGUAAAGAUGUGUGAGUCUCCCUGCCUUUUCUUUCUCAUCUAAAACUUUACCAGGGUAGAUUCAACCAACUUAACGAAUAUGGGAAUUUAAAUAUUUCUUCA